rnacentral:tRNA from 1 species
UAAAAUAAUUAAUAUAAAUAACUUUGAAUUAUUUAUUAGGUAGUUUCUACUAUAUUUUAA